UACGGAGGAUGCGAGCGUUAUCCGGAUUUAUUGGGUUUAAAGGGUGCGUAGGCGGGAUGCCAAGUCAGCGGUAAAAAUGCGGUGCUCAACGCCGUCGAGCCGUUGAAACUGGCGUUCUUGAGUGGGCGAGAAGUAUGCGGAAUGCGUGGUGUAGCGGUGAAAUGCAUAGAUAUCACGCAGAACUCCGAUUGCGAAGGCGGUAUACCGGCGCCCUACUGACGCUGAGGCACGAAAGCGUGGGUAUCGAACAGG
rnacentral:rRNA from 1 species